UACGAAGGGGGCUAGCGUUGUUCGGAAUUACUGGGCGUAAAGCGCGCGCAGGCGGUUCUUCAAGUCAGAGGUGAAAGCCCAGAGCUCAACUCUGGAAUGGCCUUUGAGACUAGAGAACUUGGGUACGGGAGAGGUGAGUGGAAUUCCGAGUGUAGAGGUGAAAUUCGUAGAUAUUCGGAAGAACACCGGUGGCGAAGGCGGUCUGCUGGGCCAAGACUGACGCUGAGGCGCGACAGCGUGGGGAGCAAACAGG
rnacentral:rRNA from 1 species